rnacentral:rRNA from 1 species
AUGUGCGCUCCCGCCCAGGUCCCAUCAAUCAACUCACGGAGACCAAGUCUGGAGCACUCCAUUUCCUACCCACGUUUUACCAGCCAGCCACGCUCCUGCUCCCACGUUUUACACGCCGUGCAAGUUGAGUUCUUGGCGUGCGCGGCAGCCUCAAGGGUCAGUGCUGCAAACGCCGUCCCUAUAAAGACAAGGCAUGCAGACUGUAGCACAGGAGCAGAGAAGGAGGUAGGCGUCCUACGUGUAGGAGGUUUGAAAGGUGAGACUCAUGGCUCUCUUCUAGCCCCCGGUUUAGCAAUUGUGGUAAAGACCAGGGAGUUUUCUUCUUCCUCCUCUCCCAAAAUUCUUGCCCUUAGUCCGGCCAUUACGCGAUACAGGCCAGGACGACCGUCUCAUUUCUUGGUAUGGUCCCUAUACGCGGAUACGAAUCAAGAGAGUGUCAUAGGAAUAUAUAUUCCCAACAUCACACAUGAAAUCAUGGAGGAGUAUUUGCAUGAAACAAACUUCAAGUUCACCAAGAAGGAAUUCAUCGUCGACCGCGAGGAGGAUUUCUCUGGUAUGGAAGGUCAAGUGCCGCAGUCGGUCAUGCUCCGCAUUGGAGACAUUUGGCUUGAUGCGCCGGUUGGUCCAUGUGUGACUUCAACAAAUCAACAUUUAGAUAAUAUGACUGCAUCACCGACUGAACAUGACCAAGGAAUGGAAACUUCGUUGGAGUCAUUGUGCCAUCAACCUCAGCAAAGAAAUAUUCGCCAUGUCAACCUUCACAAUAUUAAGGUCGGCAAAGUCCGUAUCCAAUUCCCCAAGAGUGUCGACAACAAUCAUCUAGAUUGCCUUUUUCAUAUCAGCAAGGGCGGUAUAAGAAUUCAUACUACGGUGACUAGCAACCCUUCAAUAAUUGUUGCCUUCAUCAGGUUCAUCUGGAAAAAGUAUCUUAAUCACGCCAAGUGGCGUGUUGUUGGCCUUGACUGUGAAUACACUAGAUAUGUCCACAACAAAGAGCGUAAGAAGCUUCCACUUGAGCAACAACUUGUUCUCUCUAAUCAAGAGCCACAACGUGUUGCUAUCUUGCAACUUUGUGUGGGCAAGUAUUGCCUAAUUUACCAGCUAUACCAGGCUCAUGCCAGGAGUUUUAUCCCUCCACUUCUGCGCAACUUCCUUGACAAUGAGACUGUCGAAUUUGCGGGUGCCGCCAUUGGCAAUGACAUUGAAAAACUCAAGUUCUAUAACUUGGGUAUCAGAAAACCUGUUGAUGUUCAGGGACUGGGUAUCAAGGUUCCUAACCAAAAAGCAGGCAAUUUGGCUUCAUUGGAGAAGCUAGCAAAGAAGGUUGCAAACAUAAGUCUUAACAAGGACAAAAGCAUCAUUGUUAGUCAGUGGGAAAAGUCCAACCUGGACCAUGACCGGAUCAAGUAUGCAUGUCUGGAUGCCUAUGCGAGCUUCGAGGUUUAUAGGCGACAUUCCAACAUAACUGGUUAUCUUAGGACCCGCUGA